AACCUGGUUGAUCCUGCCAGUAGUCAUAUGCUUGUCUCAAAGACUAAGCCAUGCAUGUCUAAGUAUAAGUAUUAUACAGCGAAACUGCGAAUGGCUCAUUAAAACAGUUAUAAUUUAUUUGAUAAUCGAAUUUACAUGGAUAACCGUGGUAAUUCUAGAGCUAAUACAUGCUGGUAGGCCCGACUCUUUGGAAGGGCGGUAUUUAUUAGAUAACAAACCAAUAUUCCUCUGGUCUAUUGUGGUGAAUCAUAAUAACUGAUCGAAUCGCAAGGUUUUUAACCGCGAUAAGUCAUUCAAGUUUCUGCCCCAUCAGCUUUCGAUGGUAGUGUAUUGGACUACCAUGGCUUUUACGGGUAACGGAGGAUUAGGGUUCGAUUCCGGAGAGGGAGCCUGAGAAACGGCUACCACAUCUAAGGAAGGCAGCAGGCGCGUAAAUUACCCAAUCCUGACUCAGGGAGGUAGUGACAAGAAAUAACGGACCGAGGCCCUCGGGCUUCGGGAUUGCAAUGAGCCGAACUUACACCCCUUAGCGAAGAUCGAUUGGAGGGCAAGUCUGGUGCCAGCAGCCGCGGUAAUUCCAGCUCCAAUAGCGUAUAUUAAUGUUGUUGCAGUUAAAAAGCUCGU
rnacentral:rRNA from 1 species